rnacentral:snRNA from 1 species
UCAGCUCUCUUAGCCCAAGGCUAUGAUCAAGUGUAGUAUCUGUUCUUACCAGUCUAACCAACUGGGCAAGCAUCUCCACGGGGAUCGCGAACCUGUCUUCAACGGUUAACACAAUUUUUUUCAAAUUCGGGCAGACGAGCCUCU